GCCUUACACAUGCAAGUCGAACGGUAACGCGGGGCAACCUGGCGACGAGUGGCGAACGGGUGAGUAACGCAUCGGAACGUGCCCAGUAGUGGGGGAUAGCCCGGCGAAAGCCGGAUUAAUACCGCAUACGACCUAAGGGUGAAAGCGGGGGAUCGCAAGACCUCGCGCUAUUGGAGCGGCCGAUGUCAGAUUAGGUAGUUGGUGAGGUAAAGGCUCACCAAGCCUUCGAUCUGUAGCUGGUCUGAGAGGACGACCAGCCACACUGGGACUGAGACACGGCCCAGACUCCUACGGGAGGCAGCAGUGGGGAAUUUUGGACAAUGGGCGCAAGCCUGAUCCAGCCAUGCCGCGUGCGGGAAGAAGGCCUUCGGGUUGUAAACCGCUUUUGUCAGGGAAGAAACGCUCUGGGCUAAUACCCCGGGGUAAUGACGGUACCUGAAGAAUAAGCACCGGCUAACUACGUGCCAGCAGCCGCGGUAAUACGUAGGGUGCGAGCGUUAAUCGGAAUUACUGGGCGUAAAGCGUGCGCAGGCGGUUCGUCAAGUCUGAUGUGAAAGCCCCGGGCUCAACCUGGGAAUGGCAUGGGAAACUGGCGAGCUGGAGUGCGGCAGAGGGGGGUGGAAUUCCGCGUGUAGCAGUGAAAUGCGUAGAGAUGCGGAGGAACACCGAUGGCGAAGGCAGCCCCCUGGGCCGACACUGACGCUCAGGCACGAAAGCGUGGGGAGCAAACAGGAU
rnacentral:rRNA from 1 species